rnacentral:lncRNA from 1 species
UCACCUAAUUGAACAUUCAACAACCUGCAUAUGAAUUCAACCAUUAGAAAAAAUAAAUAAAUUACAUAGACUGGAUGAUGAUAUGAAGGAAUUUGUUCAUACAACACAAACACAAUCUUCUUAAUUACUACUGUAAAUGCGAUUUGAGAACACUACAGAUAUGUAUGUAUAUAUAAAGGUAUGGGGGUUGAAACCAACGAACUUGAGAUUAUUCUCAAGUAAGUUUGCCCCAAGUGUAGAGGUUGGAACGAACAACCUUGAGGAUAUUCUCAAGGCCUCUGCCAUUUCUCCCACCAAAACCAUGAAACUCAAUACUAAGCUAGUCCUCCACAGACCUAGGACAUAUACAGUCUUUGUAAAGGUCACAAACAAACAACACCUCAAAUGUCAGGUGUUGUGAGAAUGAAUAAGGUACACACUAAGCCUAGGGGAAAUCAAGACCAUUACUAAACUGAUCAUGGUUAUGUUAAUCAAUUAGCUAGAGGAUACACUAUACCAACCUGGGUGAAAAUUUGAAAUUGAUAUUUCCACAUAAAGUGCGAUAUUUCUACAUUGGUCUCUCUUAUAUAUAUGUGGAUCGCCUCAUUAUUCAUGUGAGAAAAAACAUUUGGAAACAUCAUUUUUUCCAUGUGAAAAUAUCAAUUUUUUAAACAUAAUAAAUAUCCUUUCACCAGCCAGAUCCAAAUGAUCUACGCACUACUCUCAAUAACCAUCGAAAUCAUUUAAAUGCUAAAAAGCUAGCUAGUUUUCUAUCACAACUAUCAUUAACCACAAAUACAAGCCCAAGUUUGAACUACCUACCUCCAAAAACAAAAGUUAUAUGAUCAGACUUUAGACCUAUAACAACCUUCACAAGCUUAAAAUAUCUUGUCAAAUUGUGUCAAGAGUCUUACUAUGUAUUGCGACAAUUUUGGGUCGAAUUACAAUUGCAAAACAUACUAAUAUAUGGGACUGAAUAUAAUUAUAAGAGGGACCCAUCUAUUACAUAUCUCCAAAAAAGUUACCAUACAUACUUAUCCACGUAACUGGUAAUUAAAAAGUCGACAUAAAUAUCCGCAAUAUAUAUCAUUUUCCUUGUGUCAAUGAUAUGAUACAAUCUAAGUGCCUAAUCCAGGUCAAAUUCAGCUGAAAGUGUUUUAUUUCUUUACUGCUCUUCCCAAUCCGGUCAAGAUGUUGGCUUGCCCUUCACUUGUAGGGGUCCUUACCCCUCUUUUUCAAGGCUUCGGCAAGAGGAUUCCAAAUAAAGCGCCCACCUCGGCCUCAAAGGUAGAGGGGAAUAGAGGGCCAUAUCCGCUCCUAAAGCAGAAGCCAGUCUUGAAGCCGAGCAAUUUAGAAGACACAAAUAUGCUAUUGAUCCUCUAAAAUGAAUUACAUUGGCCAAAAGAAAGAGGGGUGGAGGAGAAGAUAUCAACAUUACCCAGAGAAAGAAGUUAUGCUAGCAUUAAAUAAUUUCUAUAUCUAAAGGAGAAUCUGCACACUAAGGUGGCCUAGCAAUCCAAGGUUGGUUCUCAGUUGGUGGGAAAAUGGACGUCAUUGUCAUGAUGCUCGAGUUUGUAUCUAAGAAAGUAUGUCGUUGCAUAUGUUAGCUACAAAUAACAAUCUGGUUCUAAAUCAUGUUUCAGACUUCAACAUUCAUACAUUUCAAAAUUAAAUACAUAUUUUACAAAAUUUAACAAUCAGCAUGAGUAUCAAUAGCUAGCAGAUGGCAAACCAAAGAACUAGAAAAACUAAGUUUACAAUUUCAACACCAAAAAGUUCCAAAAAAAAUUUUCCCCUCUUCGGUUGAAAAUUGGAAUAUGAAGAAAUUAAGUGAUUAGCCUAUCGUAAUAAGGGCUUUAUCUUCAAAAUUACUUGCCAAUGAAUGCCCCAGACAAUCCUUGAGGAAGCUUUCGAGAAAUAAUCCUAGCAGUGGUUGGCCUCGCAUUGAUUGCUGAGAUGACCAAACCCUAUAAGUAAAUCCAUCACAAUCCAAUUCCAACGUCCUUGUGCACAAUUAGAUUGCAGAAAGAAAACAAUUUAUUAAUUAAAGAACUGCAUUUGUCUAACCUCUUGAAGAACAAUCCUUCUCCUAAACAGCCCACCCUCAUCAUCAUCAUCACCAUCGUUGAAAUCAUCAAAGUAAUCGUCAUCAUCACCAUUGUCGUCACCUUCAUCACCACCACCACCACCACCACCAAAAUUAAUACUUUUACCAAUAUCGCCACCACCUCCACCGAUUACAGUCUAUGAAAUUGCAGAAGUAUUCAAUUUCCCAUGAAUAAAAAAAACAAAGAAAUUAAAUUCAAAUAACCAAUUAAUGAAAAGUUAAGCCUGUUAGUUUUUGAUUUUAUAAUGUUUUGUAUGAUGACUAAUUUAAGUAUAUUAGACGUGUGCAUGGUUCAUGGUUUGUUAUUAUAUUAUUAAAUAUGCAUGGAUUAUGGUUUAUAAAUGGUUUAUAAUAUUAUAAUUAAUAUGCAUGGGUUAUGGUUAUUACAUGAACACUUGUUGCUGAUUUUCUUCCGUUGGUAAGUUGGAAUGUUUUAAAAUCAUUUCAGAUUUGUUUUGGAGUUUUUUAAGCAAGAUUUGAAUUGGAGUUUAUUAAGGAAUGUUGGUAUUUAUAAUUUUUAAUGCUGUCAAAUAUUAUUAGAUGGGUUUAUGUUAUUAAAUGUUUUUCCAGCUGGCCCAAAUUUGGUUCAUCUAUUCUACAGAGUAUUUCGUGGGUGCUAAUUUAUUUAAGGAUAUAUUAUUGCUUGGUGGGGCCCACAAUAGUUAGUGAUAUUUUGGUAUUCUAUUUGAAAAGGAGUCUUACAGAAGCUAUUGGGUCUUAUCUUAUUUUAUCUCCUUUGUUCCUGUUUAAUUCAGUUGACUGGGUAUAGAGUUUCUCUCCUUUAUUUCAGCUAUUUCAAAUUCGUAUAGCUGUUGCAGAUUACAUAUUAUCUUUUUGGUUAUACAUAGCUGCUGAAAUCAUGGAUGGUUUCUAACGGAUUUGAGUUUUCUUAGCUAACAUCUUUUAUAGCCGUUGGGUCUCUUUGUAUAUAGUCUUAUUUUCACAGCUAAGAAUGACAGGGAUACAAGAAGCUAAUUCACGUUGCUAUACAGAGAAGAAUCCUAUUGAGAGCUUUCAUUGUUUAUUUCCAGCUAUUCAUUGUACUGUCUAUAAUUCUUUGUGGCUGGAAAAUAAGAAGUCUAUUGUAAUUUCUUCUAUUAUAUUCAAAGUUCAAAGCUUGUUUGGCUUGAUCGAUCCAGUAGUGGAUAGGGUCUGUUCAAAGAGAGUUUUCAAGGUUGCAGAGGUGCAAAGAUCUCAGUGGUGAGAAAGGUUGCAGAGGUGCAAAGGGGGCAGAGGUGUCCAUCAGUGGAAAGCUUCUUUGUAGCAGGGAGUUCUUUUUAUUGUAUUUAAUUGAAUAUUAAGUUUAAUAAAAAGAAUCUCCAAUCCUAGUUGGGAUUGGACAUGGAUUAGGCCACUAGAUUAGAGGGAUAAAUCAACUUUUGGUACCUGUUCUUGGACACGACUUACAAUUUAGUACCCGAAGUGAAAAAAGUUACAAACUGGUGAUUGUACUCAAAAAGUAUUGUGAUCUAGUGCUUGUACUUUCCAAUUUUUAAAUAAUCGUUAAAAUUGACUAACAGAGUAGAUGGAAAAUUCUGAUGUGGCUUACUCAUCUGACGUGGCUUACUCAUCGGCGCUUACAUUCUGACGGACUCUAGUUUUUCUUCCGCUAACAGAGAGGAUGAGGAGGAGAAGAAGAACCUUCCCCUACCAAAUUAGUGCUACUAUUUUUACAUACAUACAUACAUACUCAUAAUAUCCUACUAGUAGUACUAUCUGUUUAUCUAUCUCUCCUCCCCGCUUGUUCUCUCUCUCUUUAUCUCUCAUUCCUCUAUCUGGGUUUUCUUCUUGUACCCUAGAUCUGAAGCAGCUGUAAUUUGAAUAUCUGCCUAUUGAUAUAUUUUUUAUUGGCCUCUUCGGUUUUGUGUUACGCCGAGGUAAUGUUUCUCAUUUAUUUGCUAAUUGAUAGUCGUAUUAUAUGCCUUUAUGUAUGUAUAUGUAUAUGUAUUUCUCUUUUGACUUUGUGUAUGUAUAUUUUAUGGGAGGGUCUUUCCUGAGCUUAUGGUUUGAUUUUGACUUUUAUCUGCUUUCAGUUAAACUAUUGCUCACUGGGUUCAUUCGAAUUACAUUUGAUUGGAGUGUCUGCUUUAUUUCAAAAAAUCAAUUAUUAAAUAUCCAUAAUUUUGGUAGGUGGUUAAAAAAUUUUCCUGAAUGUAAGUUGCUUAAUUUCCCUUGUUUUCUUAUGUAUGUGUGUUUAGCACGAUGCUUUUUUUUUAUCGGUUCCAAUCAGCAUCAUAUAUAUCUUCAUUGCUAGAGCUUCGACUUCUCAGACAAGGUAGUAAAGGUGGAGGAGGAGCAUAAGGUACGUCAAAUAGAGCAAUCAAUUUCUGCAAAGAGAGUAAUUGAGGAUGAGGUAUGGAAUUUGGGAAAGAAAAGAGACCUUUAUACAUGUGGAAAUACACAUCAAUACAACUUUGUUGCCCAAUCAUCGUCAUGUCAUCUUUUGCAUCUGACCUGUCAAAUUUUCAAACAGAAUAAGGAUGAAACCCUACUAUUUAACGGAGUGUAACAUUUUUUUGAGUACAAUCACUAAUUUGUAACUUUUUUCACUUUGGGUACCAAAUUGUAAGUCGUGUCCCAGUACAGGUAUCAAAAGUUGAUUUAUCCCCUAAAUUAGAGGAUAGGGGCUGAACCACGUAAAAAUCUUGGUGUGAUUUUUACUUCUGUUUAUCUCUUUAACUGUCAUUCACGUUCUGCACUUUUUUGUUCUUCACGCUACUUGAAGUUAUACUAUCCAGACACUAAAGCAGACAGGUCUAGCUGUCUGAUAAUAUUAAACGAAGAACAUAAGCUAAAGCAGACAUUAAAGCAAACAGGUGUAGCUGUCUGAAUUAAACCUGUAGCAUAAAGUUACAAGAAGAUUUCACCGUUUAUCACUUUUAGCUUAAACACCUAUUCACCCCCCUCUAGGUGUGCACAUAUAGAAUUACAUUUGGUAUCAAAGCUUGGCUCAACUAAUAUUGAUCGUUGCAGGUCGUAGGGAAAGAUUCGAUGGCACACCUAAACUUUCAAGAAGGUCAGUCCACAAGUAGGCCACCGCUGUUGUUCGGAAGUGAAAACUUCAACUUUUGGAAGUUUAGAAUGAAGAUUUUUCUUAAAAGAGACCCAUGGGAAUGGUGGGUUGUUGAAAAUGGACCUGUCAUUCCUAGACAUGAUAAUGGCAAACCAAAGGCUCUCACGGAGAUGGAUGCAAACGAAAGCUAUAUGUUUUCCUACAACUCAAGAGCCAUGAACACCUUGCUAAGCGGAAUGGUCCAAGCUGAAAUUGAUAAAGUAACAUCGUGCAACACAGCAAAAGAAAUGUGGGAUACAAUCAUCAUGAGCCAUAAGGGAACUACUAAGGUGAAGGAAGUCAAGCUAAGUAUGUUGAUGCAAGAAUAUGAACUCUUCAAUAUAGAAAAAGAUGAAACAAUUCAAGAAGCUCAAGCAAGAUUCCUCACUCUAAUGAAUUCUCUAAGCAUGCUCGGACGAAAGAUUGAUCAAAAGGAAAUCAACCGAAAGCUUCUUAAAGUCAUGCCCAAACAGUUUGCACCGAAAGUCACAACUCUCCAAGACUCACCAAUAAUUAGUACCAUGGAAACUCUUACCUUGUUUGGAGAGAUUGAAGAAUUUGAAAAUCAACUCAAGAGGUAUGAUGAAGAGGAUGAAGCAUCAAUAAAGAAAACUUUGGCACUUCAAAUCGUGAGCAACAAUGAAAGUGAUCACGAAGAUUUUGAUGAAGAAAUUGAAAUGCUCUCAAGAAAACUCAAGAGACCACUUCAAAGAAAGAAACAAAGGAAAAAUCAAAAAGGUAGCUCAACUCCAGUGAGUAAGUUCAAAACGAAACAAGAAGAAGAAACUGUCCAACUCUGUUUCAUGGGACUAGAAGAUGAUGAUCAACUUGAGGUAACAAAUUUUCAUGAAGCUUUUGAAAUAUCUAUGCCUGAUUAUAUUGUUUUACAAAAUGAAAAUCAACAGCUCAAAAAGAAAACUGCCUAUUUUAAGAAUUGUGUAAAUGAGCUAAUGAAUGAAGUUAAGUCGCUUAUUAAAGAGAGAAAAGAAAAUGAAUANNNNNNNNNNNNNNNNNNNNNNNNNNNNNNNNNNNNNNNNNNNNNNNNNNNNNNNNNNNNNNNNNNNNNNNNNNNNNNNNNNNNNNNNNNNNNNNNNNNNNNNNNNNNNNNNNNNNNNNNNNNNNNNNNNNNNNNNNNNNNNNNNNNNNNNNNNNNAAAAGGACCCAAGAAGAUUUGGGUACCAAAAAGAUAGAGACUAUUUGUUUGUAGGUGUCUCAAGAUCAAAAAGGAGAUGCAUGAUUCUUUACUUUGAGAGAGUAAGUUAACUAUAAAUUAUUUGGCGGAAUCUGUAAGUACCUCAUGUUGUUUUUUAAAUAGAGUUUUAAUUAGAUAUAUUAUUAUAAAAACUCUAUGGAUUUCGUAUUACAAGGGUUCAUAACAUCAUUUAUUAUGUCAAAUGCUCCAUAUUUAAUACACAUGAUAUUCUUGAUAAAAGGUUGAGGAAUAUGUUCAUAUUUUAUUUGAUAAUUUUGACCCUGAUCUGUCAAAAGAAGAGGAUGGAGACUUUGCAGGAAAACAGUUAAAAGAUCUGAAAUUUGGAAAGAAAACAGCUCAAUCCAAACAGCCUAAGCCGUCUGCAUCAAAAGGAAAAACAGAUGAACCAGGAAAACAUGCAAACAUCUAAAUCCAGACAGCUCGACCCGUCUGUUUUUGAAGGCAAAUCAGAUGAAUAAUCUGAUACAAAAUCUGAUAUUCCAGAAAGUUAAUCAGAUGAACAAAUGACCAAUGGCAGUCUUCCAAGAACAACCAUAACAGUGAAAAAUUAUCCUCCUAACCUGAGCUUUAAAGACCUCAACAUUGGGAUGAUCAAAAGAAGUGCUAUUGAAGAGAUUUUUGAUUAUGAAAAUACAAAAUCCAAAUCUACAUUAAGGAGCACAACUAUGAAGCAUUCUACUGGUUACAAAAUGUUGUUAUAUAGGUAACAAAUCACAAAGGUAUGAUCGUAUUGUCUACUUGCUAUAUGUGGUUUUGUUAUAAACUUGCUCCAAUGAUAUUCUUUAUCUUUGCACUUAUUCUUUUAAUGUUGGCAAAUGGGGUGAGAUAACUAUUUAGCUAAAUAGAUAUAAAUUAUUUUUUGUUGAUGACAAAGGGGGAGAGUUACUUGUGCUUAAUGAUUAAUAUGAUUAAUAUGUGGUUUUUUGUUAUAAUGACAAAGGGGGAGAUAUAUAUGAUAUUGAGAUAGUAUAUUAUGCUGGAAUAUGCAAUGAUGGUUAUUUGGAUAAAGUAAUUUUCUUUUGCUCCUUAAUAUGCAUAAAUUUAGGGGGAGCCAUAUACUUAGGGGGAGCAUGUUGGUACAUAAAUUGCCAUCAUCAAAAAUGGCGAGAAUGUUAGUUUUUGAUUUUAUGAUGUUUUGUAUAAUGACUAAUUUAAGUAUAUUAGACGUGUGCAUGAUUCAUGGUUUGUUAUUAUAUUAUUAAAUAUGCAUGAAUUAUGGUUUAUAAAUGGUUUAUACUAUUAUAAUUAAUAUGCAAAGGAUAUGGUUAUUACAUGAACACUUGUUGCUGAUUUUCUUCCGUUGGUAAGUUGGAAUGUUUUAAAAUCAUUUCAGAUUUGUUUUGGAGUUUUUUAAGCAAGAUUUGAAUUGGAGUUUAUUAAGGAAUGUUGGUAUUUAUAAUUUUUAAUGUUGUCAAAUAUUAUUAGAUGGGUUUAUGUUAUUAAAUGUUUUUCCAGCUGGCCCAAAUUUGGUUCAUCUAUUCUACAGAGUAUUUCGUGGGUGCUAAUUUAUUUAAGGAUAUAUUAUUGCUUGGUGGGGCCCACAAUAGUUAGUUAUAUUUUAGUAUUCUAUUUUGAAAAGGAGUCUUACAGAAGCUAUUGGGUCUUAUCUUAUUUUAUCUCCUUUGUUCCUGUUUAAUUCAGUUGACUGAGUAUAGAGUUUCUCUCCUUUAUUUCAGCUAUUUCAAAUUUGUAUAGCUGUUGCAGAUUACAUAUUAUCUUUUUGGUUAUAAAAAGCUGCUGAAAUCAUGGAUGGUUUCUAACGGAUUUGAGUUUUCUUAGCUAACAUCUUUUAUAGCCGUUGGGUCUCUCUGUAUAUAGUCUUAUUUUCACAGCUAAGCAGGACAGGGAUACAAGAAGCUAAUUCACGUUGCUAUACAGAGAAGAAUCAUAUUGAGAGCUUUCAUUGUUUAUUUCCAGCUAUUCAUUGUACUGUCUAUAAUUCUUUGUGGCUGGAAAAUAAGAAGUCUAUUGUAAUUUCUUCUAUUAUAUUCAAAGUUCAAAGCUUGUUUGGCUUGAUCGAUCCAGUAGUGGAUAGGGUCUGUUCAAAGAGAGUUUUCAAGGUUGCAGAGGUGCAAAGGUCUCAGUGGUGAGAAAGGUUGCAGAGGUGUAAAGGGGGCAAAGGUGUCCAUUAGUGGAAAGCUUCUUUGUAACAGGGAGUUCUUUUUAUUGUAUUUAAUUGAAUAUUAAGUUUAAUAAAAAGAGUCUCCAAUCCUAGUUGGGAUUGGACGUGGAUUAGGCCACUAGAUUAGAAUAUAGGGGCUGAAUCACGUAAAAAUUUUGGUGUGAUUUUUACUUCUGUUUAUCUCUUUAACUGUCAUUCACGUUCUGCACUUUUUUAUUCUUCACACUACUUGAAGUUAUACUAUCCAGACACUAAUGCAGACAGGUCUAGCUGUCUGAUAAUAUUAAACGAAGAACAUAAGCUAAAGCAGACACUAAAGCAAAUAGGUGUAACUGUCUGAAUUAAACCUGUAGCAUAAAGUUACAAGAAGAUUUCACCGUUUAUCACUUUUAGCUUAAACACCUAUUCACCCCCCUCUAGGUGUGCACAUACAUAAAAUUACAAAGCCAUUGUACAAAACAAAGGUCACUGAACCCGAUUCUUCAAACCUCUAUAAUCACCGUAAAUAUUUGUAGCAGAACAUCACAAGUUUCUCUUAAAACUGAUCGGAUGUAAAAUCCAGAUUCUCAAGAGCAAAAUCUCCAUAAAGUAAAAUUCUAACAUCCAAAGUGUCCCCCAUAAGCUUCUUUCUCAAGCGCAAUACAGACAGAUCCAAAAUCUUCAAAUCAAUAGUUGUUUAUGGUUGGAACGCAUUUGAGGGUGCAGAUGAUCAAAAGGGAUAUAAGUAAAGUUCGCUUGCUGUAGAUUUAAAUUUUGGCUAUCUGGGACAUCUUGAUUUGCACAUUUCACUUCUUGAAAUAAAUUACUUUAGAAACAAUUUGCACGAUUAAUUAUGCAUGUUUAGUUAUCUUACAUUAAGCGUCAAUAACUUCUCCUAUAGCUUUUCAAACUGGAUCCAAUUCAAAAUGCAAAAGUUUCAAUGACAUAAAAAGGGAAAUUGAUGAACUAAAGCUAAAAGAGUCUCAAGCUUAUAAACCUAAACAGAACAUAAACUUCAACUAAGCAUGGCCAAAAGAUUUAAAUAGCAAAUUGAGUAACCUCAAUCCCGUUAAAGUUUCUCUUUUAUGCCUAUUUCGCAAGUAAAUUUCCACAUAAUACAUUAAAUCAAUAAUUUUGCAAGAAAUACUUUACUAAUUUACUCCAAUUUAUAUCUAUAUGAAACUCAAACCUGCUUAGCAAAAUUUAGCGAAAAAAAAAUUGCUUAGCAAAAGGAAUGGAAGGCACUCUCUCUCUUCUCUCUCUCUCUCACACACACACAAACACAAACUCAUAGAUAAGUUGUAUCUAAUACAACAUACUUCUGAGUUUAAAAAUGGGGAAAAAUCAGAGAAAUUAAAAGGGAGUCUGAAGUUAUCUUCAUUUUGCUUACCUUCGAGUUUUAGUGAAGAAAGAAAGAAAAUUAUCUUCAUAUAUUGUCUCUCACAUUAUGCAUGAUACACACACCAAACAAUGCUUUUAUAGUCACUAGAAAUCCUAGCUCAUGUUCCUAUAACAUGGACUCAAUCACAUGAGGCCCAAUACAUUAGUCAAACCCAAGACCAGGCUACUAAAAAAACCCCAAGUCCAAAUAAACAUUACGCUUGACUAUUGGUCGGAUCCACAGAAGUAUUGAGUCAAUCCCAAAACAUUGUAAUUAAAAGACCUAGUGAUGCAAGUCAUCAUAUCUACCUAACAGCAAGAACUUCCUAAUGCAUAGUCCUGCUCUUUUUGGUCGAGAGUAGAUCCAAUUUUCUCGGAGUAAUUGUUGUAGUUCUUCACGAGGAAUAUGUUUAGUAUUAGUGUUAAGUUGUCGAAUGAAUUGGAAACAAACAUGUUUUCAAGUGCUUGAGAAAGCCUGUUCGGUGAUGAUAUUUCCCUUCUAAGUCAGUAAGUAGAAAUAAUAAGAUAAACAAAUAGAGACAAUAUUCAAGAGGGAAGAACCACAUCUGUAUUCUUCUUUCUUAGCAGUUAUAUUAGGUGAAAUUUAGAAAAGAAUUUUCUAUAUGACAAACAAGUUGAAAACACUUAUAUAUGCUACGCUGGUAAUUCGGCAUUUUAAGAUGAAUCACUCCUAGGCAAAUAUGGAGUAGUAAAUAUAUCAUUACAUAUCAUUUUUUUGUUGUUUGUCUAAAUUAUUCUCCUGGCUGGGCAACAUUUAUAAGUCAAAAACUUUAAAGAAAUAACGAUAUUACUAGCUGUCUUUAAAUGUAUGCACUUUUGUUUUUGUUUAGAUAAUUGUAAUGUAAUUACGAUUGUGGUUGAUUUCACAUGAUGUACUUGGACCUAUCUUUUUCAUAGUAAACAUCAAGUGGCUUCUAUUCUCAAGAAUUUUAUUAGUCAUGUUCAUGCUCAGUUUAAUCACAAUGUCAAGACUAUUAGAUCAGAUAAUGGCACUGAAUUUAAUGAACUUGCUCCUAUUUUUCUUCAUCUUAGUAUUAUUCAUCAAACUUCGUGUGUUUACUCUCCACAACAAAAUGGUGUUGUAGAAAGGAAGCAUCGUCAUCUUUUGGACAUUGCUAGAGCUCUUCGAUUAAAUGCUCACUUACCUAUUCAUUUAUGGGCAGAUUGUCUCUUAACUGCUACAUAUUUGAUCAAUCGAUUGCCUACUAAAGUUCUAAACAAUAAAACUCCAUAUGAAAUGCUUCUUUGGUUCUGCACCUUCUUAUGAUCAUCUUAAGGUCUUUGGUUGCUUGUGUUAUGCUUCAACUAUAGCACAUAACAGAGAUAAGUUCUCUCCCAGAGCAAUCAGAUGUGUUUUUCUAGGAUAUCCUUAUGCUAAAAAAGGAAACAAAGUCUGUGACUUGGAAACCAAAAAAUGUUUUGUUAGCAGAGAUGUUUCUUUUGUUGAGAAUGUCUUUCCUUUUGCAUCUCUUAUAUCUUCUGCUAGUGAUUCUAGUUCUCUAUUUCCUUCUUACAAUUCUUUUUCGUUAACUAUUGAUGAUCCUUUGUAUAUUCUUAUAGUUUUUCCUACUUCUUCUGAGAUUUUUUCGGACAAUGUUUUACAGCUUGUUUCACCUAUAUCUGGUCAUAUUUUUGGUUCUUCUAAUGAGUCUUCAAAUCCUUAUGUGCCACCUGAGUUGCCUAUUACACUUCCUUCUUCCAGACCUACUCGAACUAGAACAUUUUCUUCUAAAUUCAAAGAUUUCGUAGGAUUACCCAAGAAUCUUCCUCAUACUCUUCCUUCUUCUACCACAGUUUCCACUGCUAAUCAUGUAUCUAGAUAUUCUAUGUCUCAUUUUAUUUCUUAUGAUACAUUUACUCCUGCUUACACCACCUAUCUUGCCAACACUGCUUCUAUUGUUGAGCCUUCCACUUAUGAUCAAGCUGUUGUUGAUCCUCAAUGGUGUGAAGCCAUGGUCAAAGAAAUUUCAGCCUUGGAAGCCAAUCAUGGCUUGUCACUGAGUUGCCUAAAGACAAGAAAAGUUGUGGGCAGAAAAUGGAUAUAUAAAGUAAAAUAUAAUCCUGAUGAUACUGUUGAUUGAUUUAAAGCUAGGCUUGUUGCCAAAGGCUUUACGCAGACGUAAGGAUUGGAUUUCUUUUAAACAUUUGCUCCAAUUGCCAAAAUGAAAUGACAACUGUGAGACUUCUUAUUGCCUUUUAAAGGUUGGAAGGUGGAUCUGAUGGAUGUUACUAAUGCAUUCCUUCAUGGAGAUUUAGAUGAGGAAGUAUAUAUGACAAUGCCUCUUGGUUUCUGUAGUUCACAUAAUUCUAAAGGGGCUCCUCUUGUCUGCAAACUUCUCAAGUCUUUAUAUGGACUCGAGCAAACACCUCAAGUCCUCGACAGUGGUUUUUAAAGUUGUCUGCAGCACUAACACAAUUUGGGUUUAAGCAAUCCAACUGUGAUCAUUCUCCAUUCCUUGCUCACUCUUUUUCUGGCUUUAUAGCAUUACUGGUAUAUGUCGAUGAUAUACUUAUCACAGGUUCUAACAAUGUUGCCAUUCAACAAGUCAAGGAUUACUUAGCUACUCAAUUUCAAAUAAAGGACCUUGGUGCCUUUGAAAUACUUUCUGGGUCCUGAAGCUGCUACGUCUCCAAAAGGAAUUUACCUUCAUCAACGAAAAUAUACUCUUGAUAUUUUGAAGGAAGUGGGUCUCACCGAUGCAAAACCCUCCAAAGUUCCUAUGGAGCAAAAUCACAUAUUAUUAUCCAACAGUGUUGAAGAAUAUUAAUGUCUAUCAGAGACUGGUUGGUCGUCUCAUUUACUUGACCAUAACCAGACCUGAUAUUGCAUAUCCCGUUCAUGUUCUCGGUCAAUUUUUGUCUGCUCCCUAAAGUUUGUCAUACGGAUGCAGCUUUAAAAUUGGUUCACUUGAAAUCCUCUCCUGGACAAGAUUUACUCAUGUCUGCAACUGGUUCCCUUACUUUACGUGCUUAUUGUGAUGCUGAUUGGGGUGGUUGUCCUACUACUAGGCAGUCCCUUACAGGCUACUACUGUGUAACACUAGGCUCUUCUCUCAUUUCUUGGAAGAGUAAGAAACUACACAUAGUCUCUAGGUCCUCAGCUGAAGCAGAAGACAAUGCUAUGGCUAAUGUGUGUUGUGAGGUUACUUGGUUGGUUGCUUUAUUAAAAAAAUUUGGCAUCACCUCUGUUCCUCUCUUUUGUGACAACAAAUCUGCUAUAUACAUAGCAUCUAAUCUUGUUUUUCAUGAAUGUACUAAACACAUCGAGAUUGAUUGUCACCUUGUUCGUGAGAAGCUUCAAAAGGGAGUUAGUACAACAGACCAUCUUUUGUCUACAGAACAACUAGCUGAUCUGUUUAUCAAAGCUCUGUCCAGUGAGCAACUUCAGCUUCUACAAUCCAAGUUGGGAGUUUGUCACAACUUGAGGGGGGAUGCUAAGGAUACUAAUGUCAUUAUACACAAUGGCAUUAAUGUAAUAAGUAGUUAAGGACUAGUUAGUUAUGCUGUGUUAGUAUAUAAUGUACUGAAUGUAACUGAUUUUCAGAUUAAUAAAUACUUGCAGUCUCUGUUUUAGCUGUUCUUCAUAUUCUUACAAAAAUGCAAGGAAUGACUGAAGUUAGAUGGAAGCUGAUUAGUCAUUGUUGAAAUGCUUACAAGGAGGAUAACUAAAUAUAGGUAAUUUAGGGGUAUUUGAGGGUUUGAGCCCAAUGAUUUUCUCCCAGGAGGGGGGAUGAUUUUCUCAAUAAAGUCGUUAGUGCAUCAAAUGGACAACUGUAGUCGGGUAGAAAGUUCUUGCUCUGUUUGUAGUGGACAUUAGUUCUAUAUAUAUGCUUUUCUUUAGUAGUUAGUUAAGUGUUUAUAGUUCUGUGCAGGGCCUUAAUUGAAUAAGAAAUUUAGUUGACUUUUGAUAGUUGAUAUUACCAUUACCAUUUCCAUUCCGUUCGGUCGCUUCACUUCCCUCACUCCGCUCCGCUCGGCACCGGCCUUUUUCAAGAACUUCUCAGUACCUCUCAUACACACCAUAUGAGCAGAUGUUCCAACAGUUGAUCAGUUUGACUCUAAAGAAGAUCUCAUUAAUGCAGUCAUCACAUCUUCCUUUAUUAUCAGAGUAGUGUAGGUAACGACACUCCGAACAAAUAUUUUCAAACUUAAAAUUAAUAUUCUUGAUAAUAUCAUUCAUGAUUUUUUACUCAAUUUCAAAUAUUUUCAAACUUAAAUUAAUAUUCUUUUAAAAAAAAUAAAAUUUUACAUUAAUAUAUAUAAUUUUAGUCAAUAUAAGUCGAUUGAUAUUGCUAAGAGUAAAAAUGUUGUUAUCAUUUAAAGUUUUAAGUAUCCUUAAAACAAAUAUAAAAGUAUUGCUAAAUUUGUAUUUGCUCUGACAUUAUAAUUUUUACUCUGGCAAUAUCAAUGGAUCAAUGUAAUGACGAAUGUUAUAAAUCAUCUACAUAGUAUUUUUAACUACAAAUUUUAUUGUUUAAUUUUUUUUAAUAAGUUUGGCUCUUUUAAGUUUGAAAAUGUCAAAAGUUGACUUUCAAAAGUCAAUAAUGAUAUCUUAAAAUUUGGAUUUGGCUCCCUCUGUUACAGAUUCCCUCCAAUUCGACCUAAUAUAUCAAUUAUUUAAUUUUAGUAAUUUUGUUACUAAUGAUCAAAAUAUAUUAAUAAAUAGUUGAUGAUAUUAAGAUUAAUUCUACCAAAAAUUGGAAUCAUUAAAUAAGAUUUAAUGAAAUUUUUUUAUGUUCAUUAAAUGGUGAAAAGUGUCGGAUUAUUUUCAAUUUUGGAAGAAUUAUACUACUCAACCUUAUAUCAUUAAUUAAUUGAUCAGUGUUGAUUUCAAUUAUACUAUCCAAAAUUAUAAAAACAUGGCAAAUUAGAUAAAGUUAAAUAACAAGUGUGAUGCAAGGAAACCGUCUUUAAAAUUUGGAACUAAGAGAGUUAUUUAAUAAGUCUCGCCAUUCUCUUCUUGAUUUGGGUAGAAAAUUUUGAUAGAAAAUUUGCACUCUCUCAUUUUCCUUUUUUUCCCUUUUGGGGACAUGAAAUUUUAUCUCCCUAAUUUUUCUUAUUUUUUUUCUUUUCUUUUUUAAAGCUAGUACAUGUUUUGUUAAACUGUGUUGUGAAUUUUAAAAAUGAGAGAAAAGAAAAGAGAAUGAGUGAAUUUAGUAAAAGAUUAAAAAUCACUUAUUUGUUAAAAACUUAGUCAACACAUUAAAAUACCAAAAAUAUCUAAUAUAUAAGACCGGAGGACCGACUGUGUUGUUAAUAUUUUUUUUUAGCAUUUACAUUAUUUUUUUAUCGUUUUAUUUAGACCUCCAAGUUUUAUGAUAAAAUAAAUUUUAUUUUACCCACAUAAUUUACACAUGCAACCCGGAUACAAUAAUAAUAUAAUGUUUUAAGUUUAAAUUUCAUUCCAAAAAAGAAAAAGAGUAAAUUACACUUCUCUACCUCUCUUUUCUCCUAUUCCCCGUGUUAAAAUAAGGCCCAUCCCGGUGCAAUAUUGGUCAUAAGAAUUUUGACAACAUCGGAUGCACAAAUGGUGCAAUGUUUGAUUGCAACAAGUACAGUGGUUCGUUCAAAUGCGCAACUGCUGUUAUACAUAACUAUUUUAUGUCGACAGAUGAUGUGAACUCUGAGUCUUCCAGAUCGAAUUGUUAUUAUCAAAUACUUGCUUGGUAAAACAAUUCAUUCUAAAAACAUCCACGAGUAAAUAGUGUUUAACUGACAAGCUAUAAAGUUUACUUGCAAAGAAGAGAAUAAAAACAAUUUAGAUAUGAUAUAUUGACAUGUAAUUGCAUUGUAAUCAAAAGAUUUAGUGAUGCAAGUCGUCAUAUUUACCUAACGGCAAGAACUUCCUAAUGCAUAGUCCUGCUCUUUGGAUGAGACUUUAUCCAAUUUUCUCGGAGUAAUCGAUAACAGACAUGAAUUCAAGUGCUUGAGAGAGAAAGCAGAGAUGUGGUUGUUCAGUGAUUAUAUUUCCCCUGUAAGUCAAUAAGUAGAAAUAAUAAGAUAAACAAAUAGAGACAAUAUUCAAAAGGGAAGAACCACAUAUGUAUUCUUCUUUCUUAGCAGUUAUAUUAGGUGAAAUUUAGAAACAAAAUUUUCAAUAUGACAAACCAAGUUGAUAACACUUAUAUAUGCUACGCUGGUAAUUCGACCUUUUAAGAUGAAUCACUCCUAAGCAAAUAUGGGGUAGUAAAUAUAUCAUUUUUUUAUUGUUUGUCUAAAUUAUUCUCCUGGUUGGGCAACAUUUAUAAGUCAAAACUUCAAAGAAAUAACCAUAUUACUACAGUUGCCUCUAAAUAUAUGCAUUUGUUUUGUUUUUGUUCUCAUAAUUGUAGUGUAAUAAAGUUCAUAAUGGGACACACAUCAUGUAUACACAUAACAUAAAAAGACUAAAAUGAUCUCCCAAAAAACUUACAUGCAUCCACAAAAAAAAAAAAGCAACGAUCAACUGGAAAGGGUGAAUCCAAGCUUUCUAUCCGUUAAAUGAUCGAUUAAAAGUUUCACAAAAGUGACAAGCUAUGUUGUUUAAACCAAAAGAAAAGAAGGUUCAAUAUUUACUUACUUCUUCCAAUUAUAAAAAUAAAAUAAAAAAUUGUAUACCGGGGAUAUGAAGCUCAACUUCUGAUUAUACCCUCAUAGCAAACCACUUCAAGCCCAAUGGGACUAUUUAGAGUCUAAUAUUAAAUACAACAUGCCCAUAGAUAAAGGUAGCUCUAUGUUUUGAACUCUAUGUUUUGAAGUCAAGUAUGAUUUAGGGUAAAGCUAGGGUCUCAAAUAGUGUCUCAACUCUCAAAUGAUAGUGUCAUCAUUACAUUAGUUAAGUUCAAUUCUUACGUUGGCCAAGUCGUAAAGUACCACCAUUUGCCUUAUUCAAUGUCACAUCACUUAAACGCAUGAGACCACUAGCAUUAUCCAUGAUUACAUGAUGAUUUGAAUUUCUUCUUUAUUGAUUUGUCUCCAACAUAUCAGCAUUCAUUCCCUCCCUCAGCCCAACCUGGCCAAGAAC